CAGGCCCCACGGCUGCUUAGAUUCAAACAACUACGGCCAGAGUCCGUCUUUCUCAGUGGGAAGCAGUGGUUCUUUCUCUUUGCUUGAUUUCCCUAAUGUAUAUUGGGUCGUUUAUACUCAAAAUUGUUUCAAUUCAGAGCUUGUGGGCUAAACAUGGGGACCGUCAGAUAGAUAUAUCAUUUCAUGGCUUAAAGAGUGGCUUUAAAACCUCAUCAACUGGAUGGUUUCAGGUGUUUACAAUAAUUCAGUUUGGAGAAUGUAUAUUAUGUUCUAUAUCUAAGAAAGUCACCGCAAUUCCGCUUCUGGUCUACUGCCGAAAUUUAAAGCAAGUAAUAGCAGCCCGUCGUUUACUUCUAUCGAGAAAUCAGGACAUAUUGAUUCAAGAGGGCAUCAUGGAGGAUCAUAUCUUCUAUUGACCAUAAGAAAGAGAGCCGUGAG